CCCAAUGCCAGGUAUUGAUUCAUACACCCAGAUGAGAAGAGCAUGAACACAUCCACGAAGUGUAUAUUUCUUCUUUCCUUCAUAUGAAACAAGCUUAACUGAAUUAACGAGGCUGGAAAAUCCGACACGCCCCCAAGGAUAUCUUUCAAAAGCUUCUGCGUCUAAGACUCUCUUCGCUUCUUCCAAAGGAAUUCUGCUACCGGGAGAGAUGCCUAAUAUGCCAAUCGAUAAGACACAAAGCCAGCCAAUCAUUCUUCUCUUCUCAAAUGACCAAUUCCUAAUGCGAGGAAACAAUUCGCGCAACUCAGAUAACAUUGGACCAUGUGAAGGAGACACACCAAUCUCUUCCCAAAACGCCUUAUGAUCAACCUCCACCUUAUCAUUGAUGUCGAAAGGUUCACAAU
rnacentral:lncRNA from 1 species